AGAGUUUGAUCAUGGCUCAGGACGAACGCUGGCGGCGUGCCUAAUGCAUGCAAGUCGAGCGGGCUACAGUCUUCGGAUUGUAGCUUAGCGGCGAACGGGUGAGUAACACGUAGGUAAUCUACCCUUCAGAGGAGGACAACCUCAGGAAACUGAGGCUAAACCUUCAUACGUUCACUGGUAGGGAUACUGGUGAAGAAAGAGUUACCGUUGAGGUAGCUGCUGAAGGAUGAGCCUGCGGCCCAUCAGGUAGUUGGUGAGGUAACGGCUCACCAAGCCGAAGACGGGUAACCGGUCUGAGAGGAUGUCCGGUCACACUGGGACUGAGACACGGCCCAGACUCCUACGGGAGGCAGCAGCAGGGAAUCUUGGGCAAUGGGCAAAAGCCUGACCCAGCGACGCCGCGUGGAGGAAGAAGUCCUUCGGGGCGUAAACUCCUGGACUGGGGGACGAGGAAGGACGGUACCCCAGUAGAAAGGGACGGCUAACUACGUGCCAGCAGCCGCGGUAAAACGUAGGUCCCGAGCGUUGUUCGGAUUCACUGGGUGUAAAGGGCGCGUAGGUGGUUGUCUGUGUCUCAUGUGAAAACUCAGGGCUCAACUCUGAGAUUGCGUGGGAAACUAGGCAGCUAGAGGACGGUAGAGGGGAGUGGAAUUCCCGGUGUAGCGGUAAAAUGCGUAGAUAUCGGGAGGAACACCGGUGGCGAAGGCGGCUCUCUGGGCCGAUCCUGACGCUGAGGCGCGAAAGCUAGGGGAGCGAACCGGAUUAGAUACCCGGGUAGUCCUAGCCGUAAACGAUGGGUGCUAGGUGUUGGGGGGUAAAGACCCUUCAGUGCCGAAGCCAACGCGAUAAGCAUCCCACCUGGGGAGUACGGCCGCAAGGUUGAAACUCAAAUGAAUUGACGG
rnacentral:rRNA from 1 species